ensembl:rRNA 5S_rRNA 5S ribosomal RNA
GUCUAUGGCCAGACUACCUUAAAUGUGCCCAAUCUUGUCUGAUGUCAGAAGUUUAGCAGGACUGAGGCUGGUUAAUACUUGGAUGGGAGACUGCCUGGGAAUACCAGGUGCCAUAGGCU